rnacentral:rRNA from 1 species
AGCAUGUGGUUUAAUCGAAGCAACGCGAAGAACCUUACCAGGCCUUGACAUGCAGAGAACUUUCCAGAGAUGGAUUGGUGCCUUCGGGAACUCUGACACAGGUGCUGCAUGGCUGUCGUCAGCUCGUGUCGUGAGAUGUUGGGUUAAGUCCCGUAACGAGCGCAACCCUUGUCCUUAGUUACCAGCACGUUAUGGUGGGCACUCUAAGGAGACUGCCGGUGACAAACCGGAGGAAGGUGGAGAUGACGUCAAGUCAUCAUGGCCCUUACGGCCUGGGCUACACACGUGCUACAAUGGUCGGUACAAAGGGUUGCCAAGCCGCGAGGUGGAGCUAAUCCCAUAAAACCGAUCGUAGUCCGGAUCGCAGUCUGCGACUCGACUGCGUGAAGUCGGAAUCGCUAGUAAUCGUGAAUCAGAAUGUCACGGUGAAUACGUUCCCGGGCCUU